CCUCAAGGGAUGAUCCACAGAUAUCUCACAAAGAUUGCUGUUUCUUUCAGUUCCUUGGUUCCAUCUGAUCAAGGAGAUAGACAGACACCCUUUCAUCUCAGUGCAAGCAGACACAGAUAUCAAGGCAGCAGAAGGACUCCCAGUGGCUGCAUGGACUGCCGGGCCCAUGGAGACCAUGCUUGUUUCAGUCUUGUGUCUUAGCACUGGACCUUGGCUCAUCAAGGACAAAGCUCGGCCUGGCGCGUUCCUAACGGGAAUUGGCUCUAGAAGUUCCGGACUUUGUGCUUCUCACUGCUGUGCAGUAUUCCACUGUCACCCCCAAAGCCUCAUGCACUCUGAGGUGAGGCUUGUGGAAGGUGGUUGGAUUGAGAGGACACUACAGCUGACUUAGUGUUAGGAGAUGGGCCCUGAUCAGAAGAGGAGUCAUUGUGAGUAUGACCUGGAAGUGUGUACCCCCCACCCCCCGCUCCUCCCUUCUCUCUGCUUCCUGGCCACUAUGAGGUGAACAGCUUGUCCUCUACCAUGUCUCUCCGUCACGCUGUCCUGCCUUGGAGCCAGCUUACUAUGCACUGAAAUGUGAGCCAAAAUAAAGUUCUCUCCUUUUAAGUUGUAAGCAUCAGGUACUGUGUCGCAGCAAUGAGAAAGUGACUAUGACAAACAUAUGGACCAUUCUUAAAUUUGCUUGUUAUGAACCAAAUGCCUAUCUUGUGGUGAACAAAAGCACCCAUUUCUUUUGGACAUGUAUACCCAGCAGUAGACACCAUUAAACAAGGUAUAUGUAUGCCUAGUCUUAGUGGUGCUUCCAAAGCAGUUAUCUAUUGUACACUCCUACUAGCAUUUCUUAAUUGGAGUGUCUGUCUCUUGCUUAUUGAUUUGUAUAAUUUCUUACAUAUUUUAAAAAUUAUGGUCCUUUUUCUAAUAGAUGAGUUAUAAUUCUCUUGUCUCAGUCCAUAGUUUGUUUCUCUCAUAGUGUCUUUU
rnacentral:lncRNA from 1 species